rnacentral:SRP_RNA from 1 species
UGUUGGGCUAGGGGGGGUGUUGACGUGCUCUGUUAUUCACAAAUCGUCGAUAAUGGUGACCUGAAGUCCGAGGGCGGCGUAGACGAGCCGCUGGCGACCCGCCGGUUGACGUCGACGCCUCGUCCCCAAGAGAUGCAGGUUGUUGGAAUUGGCUUCCGGAGGGGAGCCAUGACCAUCCUAUGCCCGGGAACCAGGUCAGGCGCGGAAGCGAGCAGCCCGACCGGGGAUGCUGGAUGCCUUGGGAAAACGGGGCUGAGGAGAUCGGUGAUUUAUCGCCAGCGGUGACGAACGUCCACCGAGGACGCGCCCACUA